UACGUAGGGUGCAAGCGUUAAUCGGAAUUACUGGGCGUAAAGCGUGCGCAGGCGGUUAUGUAAGACAGGUGUGAAAUCCCCGGGCUUAACCUGGGAACUGCGUCUGAUACUGGAUGGCUUGAGUUUGGGAGAGGGAUGCGGAAUUCCAGGUGUAGCGGUGAAAUGCGCAGAUAUCAGGAAGAACACCAAUGGCGAAAGCAGCUUUCUGGGACGGUACUGACGCUGAGACGCGAAAGCGUGGGGAGCGAACAGG
rnacentral:rRNA from 1 species